CUAUUAAUUUUUGUAGCAACGAAGUCUCAUUAUGUUGCCCACACUGUUCUUUGAAUUUUAUCUAUUUUUUUUUUUUUUGAGACGGAGACGGAGUCUUGCUGUGUCACCAGGCUGGAGUGCAAUGGCGUGAUCUCAGCUCAAUGCAACCUCCGCCUCCUGGAUUCAAGCGAUUCUCCUGCCUCAGCCUCCCAAGUAGCUGGGACUACAGGAGCAU
rnacentral:lncRNA from 1 species